rnacentral:rRNA from 1 species
CUUGCUUUAUUGAUGGCGACCGGCGCACGGGUGAGUAACGCGUAUGCAACCAUGCCUUACACAGGGGGAUAGCCCGGAGAAAUCCGGAUUAAUACCUGCAUAAUGAUCAAAUUGCGCAUGUUAUUUGAUUUAAAGCUUCGGCGGUGUCAGAUGGGCAUGCGUAGCAUUAGCUUGUUGGUGAGGUAACGGCUCACCAAGGCGAUGAUGCUUACGGGGUCUGAGAGGAUAGUCCCCCACACUGGUACUGAGACACGGACCACACUCCUACGGGAGGCAGCAGUGAGGAAUAUUGGUCAAUGGGCGCAAGCCUGAACCAGCCAUGUCGCGUGCAGGAUGACUGCCCUAUGGGUUGUAAACUGCUUUUUUACGGGAAUAAACCUUCCUACGUGUAGGGAGCUGAAGGUACCGUAUGAAUAAGGAUCGGCUAACUCCGUGCCAGCAGCCGCGGUAAUACGGAGGAUUCGAGCGUUAUCCGGAUUUAUUGGGUUCAAAGGGUCCGUACGCGGGCGAUUAACUCAGUGGUGAAAUCUCACAGCUCAACUGUGAAACUGCCAUUGAUACUGGUUGUCUUGAAUCUAGUUGAGGUGGGCGGAAUACGUUAUGUACCGAGCGAAAUGCAUACAUAUACGUACAACACGAUUGCAAAGCAGCUCACUACCUACCUUGCGCUGAUGC